rnacentral:tRNA from 1 species
GGAGAGGUGCCGGAGCGGUUGAACGGGCACGCCUGGAGAGCGUGUGAUUCGCAAGGGUCCCAGGGUUCGAAUCCCUGCCUCUCCGCCA